UACGUAGGGGGCAAGCGUUGUCCGGAAUCAUUGGGCGUAAAGCGCGUGUAGGCGGUUCGGUAAGUCUGCUGUGAAAGUCCAGGGCUCAACCCUGGGAUGCCGGUGGAUACUGUCGGGCUAGAGUACGGAAGAGGCGAGUGGAAUUCCCGGCGUAGCGGUGAAAUGCGCAGAUAUCGGGAGGAACACCAAUUGCGAAGGCAGCUCGCUGGGACGUCACUGACGCUGAGACGCGAAAGCGUGGGGAGCAAACAGG
rnacentral:rRNA from 1 species